rnacentral:sRNA from 1 species
GCCAGUUAGAUAGGGUUACUCAUCAAAUUAGAAAACAAAAACCGAGCAAGUUCUCUUGCUAAUGGCGGGCCAUAUAAAAGUUCCUAUGAACCUAAGCUGCAAAGCCGAUGGAUUACAAAGGCGGAGGACACUCAAAAAUUAUUAGUACUCGGAGUUACAUCACAUCACUGGGC